UUGGGCGUUCCCCUUUCGGGGGGACAGGGUGACAGGUGGGGCAUGGUUGUCGUCAGCUCGUGGCGUGAGAUGUUGGGUUAAGUCCCGCAACGCGCGCAACCCUCGCCUCUAGUUGCCAGCAUUCGGUUGGGCACGCUAGAGGGACUGCCGGCGACAAGUCGGAGGAAGGUGGGGAUGACGUCAAAUCAGCAUGCCCCUUAUGACCUGGGCUACACACGUGCUACAAUGGGCGGUACAAAGGGCUGCGAACCCGCGAGGGGGAGAGAAUCCCAAAAAGCCGCUCUCAGUUCGGAGUGCAGGCUGCAACUCGCCUGCAUGAAGCCGGAAGCGCUAGUAAUCGCGGAUCAGCAUGCCGCGGUGAAUACGUUCCCGUGCCUUGUACACACCGCCCGUCACACCCCGAGAGCUUGCAACACCCGAAGUCGGUGGGGUAACCCGCAAGGGAGCCAGCCGCCGAAGGUGGGGCAAGUGAUGGGGGUGAAGUCGUAACAAGGUAGCCGUACCGGAAGGUGCGGCUGGAUCACCUC
rnacentral:rRNA from 1 species